AUGUGCAGGGAGGAACAUUUCAUGGACAAUGAGGAGAUAUGCAAACCACGCCAUGACCUGAAGCUGCUGGAGCUGGACUUAUUUUGUGAAAUGGUGUUUCCGACGCCAUGCUGCUGCUGUCCCUCGGUUUGCUCUGCAGACGGGUACUGGAACUACUUGUCGCCAAGGAUGGAGAGCUACAGCGGUGUGCUCGCCAAGGCCAUCGACGUGGGCACCAACCACCUCGUCAAAGGCAUCGUCGUGUGCAGCAAGGCCUACGCCAGCCAGGUAGGGAGCCAACGUGAUUAG
rnacentral:rRNA from 1 species